CGGGGGGCGUCCCUAUAAUGCAAGUCGAGCGCAUGAAAUUAUUUGAUUCUCUUCGGAGUUGACGAUAAUGGAAUGAGCGGCGGACGGGUGAGUAACACGUAGGCAACCUGCCUGUAAGACUGGGAUAACUCGUGGAAACGCGAGCUAAUACCGGAUAACACUUUUCAUCUCCUGAUGAGAAGUUGAAAGGCGGCUUUUGCUGUCACUUACAGAUGGGCCUGCGGCGCAUUAGCUAGUUGGUAAGGUAACGGCUUACCAAGGCGACGAUGCGUAGCCGACCUGAGAGGGUGAUCGGCCACACUGGGACUGAGACACGGCCCAGACUCCUACGGGAGGCAGCAGUAGGGAAUCUUCCGCAAUGGACGAAAGUCUGACGGAGCAACGCCGCGUGAGUGAUGAAGGUUUUCGGAUCGUAAAACUCUGUUGUUAGGGAAGAACAAGUACUAUAGUAACUGAUAGUACCUUGACGGUACCUAACCAGAAAGCCACGGCUAACUACGUGCCAGCAGCCGCGGUAAUACGUAGGUGGCAAGCGUUGUCCGGAAUUAUUGGGCGUAAAGCGCUCGCAGGCGGUUCUUUAAGUCUGAUGUGAAAUCUUACGGCUCAACCGUAAACGUGCAUUGGAAACUGGGGAACUUGAGUGCAGAAGAGGAGAGUGGAAUUCCACGUGUAGCGGUGAAAUGCGUAGAGAUGUGGAGGAACACCAGUGGCGAAGGCGACUCUCUGGUCUGUAACUGACGCUGAGGAGCGAAAGCGUGGGGAGCGAACAGGAUUAGAUACCCUGGUAGUCCACGCCGUAA
rnacentral:rRNA from 1 species